UCAAAUAUUUCUUUACUUAAAAAUGAACGUAUCAUGCGCCAAAGACGUUAACUCGAGCUGUUAAAGAUUACGAUCGUACCAUUCAAUAUCAUCAUGGAAGAGCGAACGUGGUAGCUGACGUGUUGAGUAGAAGAUCGUAUGUGUUUACGAGUGCGAUGUUGUUAACACAAAGACUCAUUUCGUAUAACUUACAAAUGAUGAAGAUAGAGUUAAAGUCUCUAGGGACCCACAUGAAGAUAAC
rnacentral:lncRNA from 1 species